rnacentral:rRNA from 1 species
UCCACGCCGUAAACGAUGUCUACUAGCCGUUGGGAGACUUGAUCUCUUAGUGGCGCAGCUAACGCAAUAAGUAGACCGCCUGGGGAGUACGGUCGCAAGAUUAAAACUCAAAUGAAUUGACGGGGGCCCGCACAAGCGGUGGAGCAUGUGGUUUAAUUCGAGGCAACGCGAAGAACCUUACCAAGACUUGACAUCCUAGAAAUUUACCAGAGAUGGUUUAGUGCCUUCGGGAA